rnacentral:rRNA from 1 species
UACAGAGGGUGCGAACGUUGCUCGGAAUUACUGGGCGUAAAGCGCAUGUAGGCGGAUCCAUAAGUCGGGCGUGAAAUCCCCAGGCUCAACCUGGGAACUGCGCUCGAAACUGUAGGUCUUGAGUGUCGGAGAGGAUGGCGGAAUUCCUGGUGUAGAGGUGAAAUUCGUAGAUAUCAGGAGGAACACCGGUGGCGAAGGCGGCCAUCUGGACGACAACUGACGCUGAGAUGCGGAAAGCCGUGGGGAGCAAACAGG